rnacentral:lncRNA from 1 species
AGUUUGGAUGUAGUUUGACCCUGCCAAAACUCAUACUGAAAUUUGAUCUUUAAGGUGGCAGCAUUCGGGGAUGGGGCCUAGUGGGAAGUGUUUGAGCCAGGAGGUAGAUCCCUAAUGAAUUGACUAAUGCCCUCCACUGGGGUGAAUGAAUUCUUGUUCUCACUGGAAUGGAUUGGUUGUUAAAAAGAAUCUGGCUUCCUCAGUUUCUCUCUCUUGCUUCCUCCCUCACCAUAUGAUCUCUUUGCACUUGUCUACUCCCCCUUGGCUUUCUGCCAUGAGUGGAAGCAGCAUGAGGUCUUCACCAGAAGGUAAGCAGAUGCUAUUGCCAUGCCCUUUGAUCUUCCCAGUCUGCAGAACUGUGAGCUAAAUAAACCUCUUUUUCUUAUACGUUACCUAGUCUCAUGUAUUCUGUUUUAGCAACACAAAACUAAGACAGAAUGUCAUACCUAAAAUACAGUUGACAUUAUACCGACUUGAAUGGGAAUUCAUGUGGUAGAGCUGGGGUUGGUAAACUUUUUCUGUAAAGGGCCAGAGGGUAAAUAUUUCAGGCUUUACAGCCCAUAUGUUCUGUCUCAAACACUCAACUCUGCAUGAAAGCAGCCAUAGACAGUAUGUAAAUAAAUGAGCAAGGCUAGAUUCCAAUAAAACUUUAUUUAUGGACACUGACAUUUAGAUUUCAUAUCUUUUUUCAUGUAUCAUAAAACAUUAUACUUCUUUUGAUUUUUAUUUCAUUUAAAAAUGUAAAAACUAUCUUUAACUCACAGGGCCUCCAUAAACAGGCAGUGAGUCAGAUUGGGCCCACAUGGACAUAGUUCAAGAUUCCUGCUAUGGUUGACACUCUAGGGACAAAGCCCAAAAUGGUUCAUCACAAUCACAAAAUAUUUUUAGAAGUAUCUUGCCUUAUAUUUGUAGUUUUCAACCAACCAUGACUUUUCCACCCAACUACAGGGGACAUUUGGCAGUGUCUGGAGACAUUUUUGGUUGUUACAACUGGAAUUGCGCAUCUGGGGGUUGAGGCCAGGGUUGCUGUUAAACAUUGGGCAAUGCACAGGACACUUCCCCGCAGCAAAGAAUUACCCAGCCCAAAAUGUCAAGUGCUGAAAUUGAGAAACCCUGCUUUAUAUUAAAAUACGUGCACAUUUUGUAUUCCACUCAAUGUUCAGUAUAAUAUUAUUUACACAUUUUUUUCUUUGAGUAAAAUUGACACUGCAAGAAAAUUGGUCAUGUUUAUCUGGUGCCCUAGCCUGAGGUCUGGUACAUGGCCAUGAACCAUGCUUUGCAAAAGAUGGCCCUAUCCCUGUCUUUCAAUUGAUUCCCUCAUUUUACAGCUUAGCUCUGACCUU